rnacentral:rRNA from 1 species
CCUACGGGGGGCAGCAGUGGGGAAUAUUGCACAAUGGGCGCAAGCCUGAUGCAGCCAUGCCGCGUGUGUGAAGAAGGCCUUCGGGUUGUAAAGCACUUUCAGCGGGGAGGAAGGCGGUGAGGUUAAUAACCUCAUCGAUUGACGUUACCCGCAGAAGAAGCACCGGCUAACUCCGUGCCAGCAGCCGCGGUAAUACGGAGGGUGCAAGCGUUAAUCCGAAUUACUGGGCGUAAAGCGCACGCAGGCGGUCUGUCAAGUCGGAUGUGAAAUCCCCGGGCUCAACCUGGGAACUGCAUUCGAAACUGGCAGGCUAGAGUCGUGUAGAGGGGGGUAGAAUUCCAGGUGUAGCGGUGAAAUGCGUAGAGAUCUGGAGGAAUACCGGUGGCGAAGGCGGCCCCCUGGACAAAGACUGACGCUCAGGUGCGAAAGCGUGGGGAGCAAACAGGAUUAGAUACCCCAGUAGUC